rfam:Triticum aestivum genome assembly, contig: Triticum_aestivum_CS42_TGACv1_scaffold_183530_2DS
GUAGUAUUCCCUCCGUCCCAAAAUUCUUGUCUUACAUUUGUUUAGAUACGGAUGUAUCUAACACUAAAAUGUAACUAGUUACAUCCGUAUUUAGACAAAUUUAAGACAAGAAUUUUGGGACGGAGGGAGUACAAA